rnacentral:rRNA from 1 species
ACGACCAUAUCUCGAGUACAGCAAGAUUUCCCGUCCGAUCAAUCAUAUUUAAGCCUCGGAGGGCCUUAUUCAGUAAUGCCGUGGGAGACCAGGCGUGAACAGAAGGUGUUGUAGCUU